rnacentral:rRNA from 1 species
UACGUAGGUGGCAAGCGUUGUCCGGAAUUAUUGGGCGUAAAGCGCGCGCAGGUGGUUUCUUAAGUCUGAUGUGAAAGCCCACGGCUCAACCGUGGAGGGUCAUUGGAAACUGGGGAACUUGAGUGCAGGAGAGAAGAGUGGAAUUCCACGUGUAGCGGUGAAAUGCGUAGAUAUCUGGAGGAACACCGGUGGCGAAGGCGGCGUCCUGGACCAAUACUGACACUGAGUGAGCGAAAGCCAGGGGAGCAAACGGG